AUUGAACGCUGGCGGCAGGCCUAACACAUGCAAGUCGAACGAGUGGCGGACGGGUGAGUAAUGUCUGGGAAACUGCCCGAUGGAGGGGGGUAACUACUGGAAACGGUCGCUAAUACCGCAUACCAUCGGAUGUGCCCAGAGGGGAUUAGCUAGUAGGUGGGGUAACGGCUCACAUAGGAGACGAUCCCUAGCUGGUCUGAGAGGAUGACCAGACCCACUGGAAAUGAGACACGGUCCAGACUCCUACGGGAGGCAGCAGUGGGGAAUAUUGCACAAUGGGCGCAAGCCUGAUGCAGCCAUGCCGGGUGUAUGAAGAAGGCCUUCGGGUUGUAAAGUACGUUCAGCGAGGAGGCGUUACUCGCAGAAGAAGCACCGGCUAACUCCGUGCCAGCCGCCGCGGUAAUAC
rnacentral:rRNA from 1 species